AGGGGUACCCAGCACAUUCACCAUGGUGUGGACCAUCGCCAGGAUCCAUUUUGAGGAUUAUGGGUGCUGGGACACCAUCAACUCCUCACUGUGGUGGAUCAUAAAGGGCCCCAUCCUCACCUCCAUCUUGGUAAACUUCAUCCUGUUUAUUUGCAUCAUCCGAAUCCUGCUUCAGAAACUGCGGCCCCCAGAUAUCAGGAAGAGUGACAGCAGUCCAUACUCGUGAGUGUGGGCCUAGUGCCUCAGCCCCCGGUACCUCCAUCCCCAGUCCUCAAAUCAUCCCACAUCUCCUUG
rnacentral:lncRNA from 1 species